rnacentral:tRNA from 3 species
AGGCGCGUAGCUCAGUGGUAGAGCAUCACCUUGACACGGUGAGGGUCGCUGGUUCAAGCCCAGUCGCGCCUA